rnacentral:rRNA from 1 species
CCUACGGGAGGCAGCAGUGAGGAAUAUUGGACAAUGGUCGAAAGACUGAUCCAGCCAUGCCGCGUGCAGGAAGACGGCCCUAUGGGUUGUAAACUGCUUUUGUUUGGGAAGAAACCUUUCUACGUGUAGAAAGCUGACGGUACCAUACGAAUAAGCACCGGCUAACUCCGUGCCAGCAGCCGCGGUAAUACGGAGGGUGCAAGCGUUAUCCGGAUUUAUUGGGUUUAAAGGGUCCGUAGGCGGACUUAUAAGUCAGUGGUGAAAUCCUGCAGCUCAACUGUAGAACUGCCAUUGAUACUGUAAGUCUUGAAUUCGGUUGAAGUGGGCGGAAUAUGGCAUGUAGCGGUGAAAUGCUUAGAUAUGCCAUAGAACACCGAUUGCGUAGGCAGCUCACUAAGCCUGGAUUGACGCUGAGGGACGAAAGCGUGGGUAGCGAACAGGAUUAGAUACCCUGGUAGUCCACGCCGUAAACGAUGAUUACUCGACAUUAGCGAUACACGGUUAUGUCAUAAGCGAAAGCAUUAAGUAAUCCACCUGGGGAGUACGUUCGCAAGAAUGAAACUCAAAUGAAAUUGACCGGNNGAGAGAGACGAGACGACGACGAGGGAGAGG